GUAUAUAUUAUAUAGGCACAACAUUCUAUUAACAUACAUUGGGGUAAAUGAAGCAACAUAGACCUGAAAGGCCUACAAAAAGUGCACAGGUGGAGAUAUAAAGAUGACAAGGCGUGCACAUGCUCCCUAGAGAACCAGCAACAACCCAUCAGGUUUAUUUCAAUAAUGAUCCUUCCGCAGGUUCACCUACGGAAA
rnacentral:misc_RNA from 1 species